UGGGGAAUUUUGGACAAUGGGGGCAACCCUGAUCCAGCCAUUCCGCGUGAGUGAAGAAGGCCUUCGGGUUGUAAAGCUCUUUCGGCAGGAACGAAACGGCGGGCUCUAACAUAGCCUGUCAAUGACGGUACCUGAAGAAGAAGCACCGGCUAACUACGUGCCAGCAGCCGCGGUAAUACGUAGGGUGCGAGCGUUAAUCGGAAUUACUGGGCGUAAAGCGUGCGCAGGCGGCUUUGUAAGACAGGUGUGAAAUCCCCGGGCUUAACCUGGGAACUGCGCUUGUGACUGCAAGGCUCGAGUGUGGCAGAGGGGGGUGGAAUUCCACGUGUAGCAGUGAAAUGCGUAGAGAUGUGGAGGAACACCGAUGGCGAAGGCAGCCCCCUGGGUCAACACUGACGCUCAUGCACGAAAGCGUGGGUAGCAAACAGG
rnacentral:rRNA from 1 species